AUGAAAGGCCUAAUCUGGAAUAUGAGGGGUUUUGGUCAACGAGAUAGACGGCGGCAACUUAUCGAAUACAUCCCUGACCAAAAUCUCGACUUCGUGGGUCUCCAGGAAACCAUUCGGUCCUCCUUUGAACCAUAUGAGCUU
rnacentral:rRNA from 1 species